UUUGGUUAAGAUAUUAAGGGCAUACGGUGGAUGCCUUGGCACAAGAAGACGAUGAAGGACGUGGUAAGCUGCGAAAAGCCUCGGGGAGGUGCAAACAACCUUAGAGCCGGGGAUUUCCGAAUGGGGCAACCCUCCUGGAGUCAUGUCCAGGAAUCCUUUGCUGAAUACAUAGGCAGAGUGAAGAGAACGGAGGGAACUGAAACAUCUAAGUACCUCCAGGAAAAGAAAACAACCGUUAUUCCCUAAGUAGCGGCGAGCGAACGGGGAACAGCCUAAACCCAUCUCAUGUUAAAGCCUGUUUGCGUUGUGAGACGGGGGUUGCGGGAAUUGAUUUGACCUCAAGACAGUGGGGUCGGAAAGUUACAAAUCACCCUUUUAAUCAAAGCACUCUGGAAAGUGUGCGCCAAAGAAGGUGAUAGCCCUGUAGAUGAAAAAAGAGGUGACUUUCUUAUUGAUCUCCCAAGUACCGCGGGACACGAGAAAUCUUGCGCGAAUCCGGGUGGACCACCAUCCAAGGCUAAAUACUCUCUUGUGACCGAUAGUGAACUAGUACCGUGAGGGAAAGGUGAAAAGUACCCCUGGCGGGGAGUGAAAUAGUACCUGAAACCGUAUGUCUACAAGCAGUGGGAGUUUUCAGUGGUCUUCGGACUUUCUGCGAACGACCGCGUGCCUUUUGCAUAAUGAGCUGGUGAGUUACUUUACGUUGCAAGAUUAAGGCUUUAAGAGCUGUAGUCGUAGCGAAAGCGAGUCUGAAUAGGGCGUUCAGUAGCGUGGAGUAGACGCGAAGCCGGGUGAUCUACCCAUGACCAGGGUGAAGCGGCCGUAACAGGUCGUGGAGGCCCGAACCCACUAAUGUUGAAAAAUUAGGGGAUGAGUUGUGGGUAGGGGUGAAAGGCCAAUCAAACCCGGAGAUAGCUCGUUCUCCUCGAAAUAGUUUUAGGACUAGCCUCGAAUAAUAGAGAGACGGGGGUAGAGCACUGAAUGGGCUAGGGCCCUCACAAGGGUACCAAUCCCAAACAAACUCCGAAUACCGUUUACUUGUUUUUCGGGAGUCAGGCUAUGUGGGAUAAGCUUCAUAGCCGAGAGGGAAACAACCCAGACCGUCAGUUAAGGUCCUCAAGUAUGAACUAAGUGAUAAAGGAUGUGGGAGCGCCCAGACAACCAGGAUGUUGGCUUAGAAGCAGCCACCAUUUAAAGAGUGCGUAAUUGCUCACUGGUCAAGCGGUCUUGCGCCGACAAUUGCCGGGACUUAAGUUCGUCACCGAAACUACGGAUUCGUGCUUAGCACGAGUGGUAGGGGAGCGUUCCAUUGACCUGCGAAGGUGGACUGUGAGGUCUGCUGGAGGAGAUGGAAUUGAUUAUGCCAGCAUGAGUAGCGAUAAAAGAGGUGAGAAUCCUCUUCACCGAAAAUCUAAGGUUUCCUGAGUAAAGUUCGUCUGCUCAGGGUUAGUCGGACCCUAAGCCGAGGCCGAAAGGCGUAGGCGAUGGAAAACGGGUGAAUAUUCCCGUACCACCAAAAAAUGUUAACUUAAGGGGUGACGCAGAAGUGACAGGUCAGCCGGACUCUGGAUUGCCGGUCUAAGUGCGUAGGAGUGUGGAUGAGGUAAAUCCCAUCCGCUUUAACUUCGAGACACGAAUGGGAAAUGAGGCUUUGCCAAACCAACUGACCGUAAGCAUGCUGCCAAGAAAAACCUCGUAGGUUGUUUUAGGUGACCGUACUUCAAACCGACACAGGUAGAUGGGGAGAGAAUCCUAAGGUGCGCGAGUGAUCUCUGGUUAAGGAACUAGGCAAAUUAACCCCGUAACUUCGGAAGAAGGGGUGCCCUGAUUAAGUGAAAGACUUCGCGUCUGGAGCUAAAAAGGGUCGCAGUGACCAGGCCUGGGCGACUGUUUACUAAAAACACAGGUCUCUGCAAAGCCGUUAAGGCGAAGUAUAGGGACUGACACCUGCCCGGUGCUGGAAGGUUAAGGGGAUAGGUUAUCCCGACUUGUCGGGAGAAGCUUUGAACUGAAGCCCCAGUAAACGGCGGCCGUAACUAUAACGGUCCUAAGGUAGCGAAAUUCCUUGUCGGGUAAGUUCCGACCUGCACGAAUGGUGUAACGACUUGGGCACUGUCUCAACCAGAGGCUCGGCGAAAUUGUAGUACCGGUGAAGAUGCCGGUUACCCGCGACGGGACGGAAAGACCCCGUGAACCUUUACUAUAACUUAGCAUUGGGUUUUGUCAUGGCACGUGUAGGAUAGGUGGGAGACUUUGAAGCGUCGACGCUAGUAGGCGUGGAGUCAUCCUUGAAAUACCACCCUUGUUUUGUUAGAAUUCUAACCUAGGCCCGUUAUCCGGGUCGGGGACCAUGCUAGGCGGGUAGUUUGACUGGGGCGGUCGCCUCCAAAAGAGUAACGGAGGCGCCCAAAGGUUCCCUCAGCACGGUCGGUAAUCGUGCGUAGAGUGUAAAGGCAUAAGGGAGCUUAACUGCGAGACAUACAGGUCAAGCAGGUGCGAAAGCAGGGCUUAGUGAUCCGGUGGUUGCGUGUGGAAGCGCCAUCGCUCAACGGAUAAAAGGUACUCCGGGGAUAACAGGCUUAUCGGGCCCAAGAGUUCACAUCGACGGCCCGGUUUGGCACCUCGAUGUCGGCUCAUCGCAUCCUGGGGCUGGAGAAGGUCCCAAGGGUUGGGCUGUUCGCCCAUUAAAGCGGUACGUGAGCUGGGUUUAGAACGUCGUGAGACAGUUCGGUCCCUAUCUGUCGCGGGCGUAGGAGAUUUGAGGGGAGCUGCUUCUAGUACGAGAGGACCGAAGUGGACGAACCCCUAGUGUACCAGUUGUCUCUCCAGAGGCAUUGCUGGGUAGCUAUGUUCGGAAGGGAUAAGCGCUGAAAGCAUCUAAGUGCGAAGCCCACCUCAAGAUGAAAUCUCCCUUCCCGAUUCGUCGGGACUAAAGGCUCCUCGGAGAUGACGAGGUUGAUAGGCCAUAGGUGUAAGCACAGUAAUGUGUUCAGCCGAAUGGUACUAAUAAGCCGUGAGGCUUAACCAUUAUUU
rnacentral:rRNA from 1 species